UCGGAUUGGGAUUUAACAAUGUUAGUCGUGCGUUCCUUGGCUACAGGGGACGCAGCGUACGGCUCAGUAACACGUAGUCAACCUACCCUGGAGAUGCGGAUAAACCCGGGAAACUGGGGCUAAUACGCGAUAGAUGACCUCAUCUGGAAGGAGAGGUCGUCCAAAAGGCGGCACGGGUAUGCUCCGUGCUUUCCGCUCCAGGAUGGGACUGCGGCCGAUCAGGCUGUUGGCGGGGUAAUGGCCCACCAAACCUGUAACCGGUACGGGCUUUGAGAGAAGGAGCCCGGAGAUGGACACUGAGACAAGGGUCCAGGCCCUACGGGGCGCAUCAGGCGCGAAAACUUCGCAAUGCGCGAAAGCGUGACGAGGCUAGUCCGAGUGCUCCCCGCUGAGGGGGGCUUUUCUCGGCUGCAAAUAGGCCGGGGAAUAAGGGGAGGGCAAGUCUGGUGU
rnacentral:rRNA from 1 species